UAGCAUGCUCCAGAGUACAAGCUGACAAGCACUAAUGCAAUCGCUCUUUGCUUGGUAAAUACUAAAUACUACUUGUAAUCUCAGUUUUUCAACUUUCAAAAACAACCAAGAAACUAAAUGAACACAGAUGCAAAUGAACACAUAAUAUAAAAUGCAUACAAAUAUACAUAUACAUAUACAUAUACAUAUACAUAGCACAUAUGAGGAGAUAGGGACCUGGAGGGUAGGAAAUAUGAAGGCCGCCUCUGGCAAUAGCAGGACGAAGAAAAGAGGAGAAGUUGGGAGAGAGGAAGAGGAUGGAAAUAGCAAGCUCCAUUCUGUGAUCUUUGAGGUUGGCUAUGGAGACGAUGGAGCUGGAUUCUGGAAGCCAUUCAGGAAGAUGAAAACGUAACGACGAAGAUCGGAGAUGCUGGAUCGCCGGAAAAUGGGCUGCAAAUUCAAAUGGGAAAGAAGAAACGGGGACUUCGAGCUAUGGGUAAAUAAGCCAACAAACCUAACCGGAUGAACCGUUCAAACAGCCCGAACCAAACUAAAUUAAAUAGGUUGAUUUUUUUUAGGGUAAAAGACCGUUUACUACCCUCAUGUUUUGUGGUUUUCAACAUUUAGUACAUCAAGUUUUUUUCGUCUCAGAUUCAUACCUAAAGUGUAAAUUUUGGGACAGUCUCAUACAUCCGUUAGUCAAACUGUUAAAUGCCAUUAAUUGUGACGUGGCGCCAUGACUGGGCGCCACCUAUCAUCCACAUUUUUUUUUCUUUUUUUUUUCUUUUCUUCUUUCUUCUUCUUCCUUCUUCUUCUUCUGCAACUUUUUUUUUUCUUCCUCCUUCUCCUUCUUCCUUCCCCUUCUUCUCCUUCUUUCUUCUUCUUCCUUCUCCUUCUCCUUUUUCUUCUUCUUCCUCCAAAUCUGGGGAAGUUUUUUUUCUUUUUCCUCCUUCUUCCUCCUUCUUCUUUCUUCUUCUUCUUCUUCUUCUUCCUCCGACUGCAAUUUUUUUUUUUUUUUUGAGGAAGAAGGAAGAAGGAAGAAGGAGAAGAAGGGGAAGGAAGAAGGAGGAAGGAAGAAGGAGAAGAAGAAGGAGGAAGAAGAAGAAGGAAGAAAAAAAAUUGCCGUCGAAGGAAGAAGAAGAAGAAGAAGGAGGAAGGAGGAGGAAGAAGAAGAAAGAAGAAAGAAGACAAAAAAAAAAAAAACCUUCAUCUUCCCCAGAUUCGAAGGAAGAAGAAGGAAGAAGGAGAAGAAGGGGAAGGAAGAAGGAGGAAGGAAGAAGGAGAAGAAGGAGAAGAAGGAGAAGAAGGAGGAAGAAAAAAAAUUCCUUCAUCUUCCCCAGAUUCGGAGGAAGAAGAAGAAGGAAGAAGAAGGAAGAAGGAGAAGAAGAAGGAAGUAAAAAAAAAGAAAAAAAAGUUGCAGUCGGAGGAAGAAGAAGAAGAAGAAAGAGGAAGAAGGAGGAAGAAGAAGAAGAAAGAAGAAAAAAAAAUAAAAAGAAAAAAAACUUCCCCAGAGUCGGAGGAAGAAGAAGAAGAAUGAGAAGGAGAAGGAAGAAGAAGGAAGAAGGAGAACAAGGGGAAGGAAGAAGGAGAAGGAGGAAGAAAAAAAAAGUUGCAAAAGAAGAAGAAGGUAGAAGGAAGAAGAAGAAAGAAGAAAGAAGAAAAGAAAAGGAAAAAAAAACGUGAAUGACACAUGGCGCCCAAUCAUGGCGCCACGUCACAAUUAACGACAGAUUUAACAGUUUGACUAAUGGAUGUAUGAGACUGUCCCAAAAUUUACACUUUAGGUAUGAAUCUGAGACGAAAAAAAACUUGAUGUACUAAAUAUUGAAAACCACGAAACAUGAGGGUAGUAAACAGUCUUUUACCCUUUUUUUUAUGUACAACAAUAUUUACAUUAUAGGGUUUGAAUUAAAUUGAAGAGAAAUGUCACCAACUAUAUUAGUAGUGACAAAAUCGAUUUUGGAAGAAGUUGUCUAUUUCAGAGGGGAUUUACCAGAUGCCGAAUGUAACUAUGUAAAUUUUCUCCUGUAUUUACUAAUUUGUAAGGAAUUGAAAAAAUAGUUGUUUCUUAAAAUUCAUUAUCAAACACCUAAAAAUCAGGAAGCAUAUCAAGUAUGGGCCAUUUGAUCCUGCUCUCUUUUCUUACUUUUCAUAUUUCUAAGUUAUUUCAUUCCUUGUUACUCAAUACUACGUUCGGUGGUAUUCCUAUUCACUUGAAACUGAGAGGUCUUAGAUUCGAAUUUCGUGGAUGGCGAAUUCGAUACCAAAUUAGGUUGCACAUUGUGUAGUUUAGCCGAACUCCCCCUCAACAUAGUGUAAAAAUAUAUCGAUGUACUCAAAAAGUUAUUUCAUUUCUUUAUUUUCUCAUUUAUGAUAAGUAAACAUUGAUAUAUGGAUCCAAUAUUGCAUAUCGUGUUUAUGAAUGAGCCUUGGUAGGAGUCACAACCUAAUCAUGAGUGAAAUCGUCACAUGUGUAGUGCCAAUGUUUUCAUGCACACGCUCACCAAAGGGUCUGUUUCGUUUUCCUACCUCUCGGUUGGUCCAACUAGGUCCGAAAGUACUCCAAAGGUAAAGUAAGGCCCAAGGAAUACAUCGUGUUCACAACAUCAUAACAAUAAUAAGGAAAUACAAUGGAGAGGCUUAGGUGAGAGCCUUAUGGCGCAAUAAACUUCAAUUUAGGUCAUGAGGAGUAGAGGCAAAGUUGACCAACUUCUUACAUAGAGUUUUAGGGGAUGAAAGGGAUCAAAAUCGAAUUCCAGGGGGCAAAAUAGAACAAACUAUGAAUCUAAGGGAGUGAAGUGACGAUUUUUUAUUUACAAUGAGCAAAGUAAGAUUAAAAUCGAGGGUGUAGCUAAAAAUAAGCACAUUUGUUUACUUUCUUGGUUUGAUCAUGUAAUUUAAAUAUUAUUUUCCCAAUAAAUUUUGGAAGGCAAACAAACUCAUCAAGAGGUAAUAUUGCAGAAGUGCUAAUUCACUUGGAAGAAUGGAACAGGAACAUAUAGGAUAAAAUAGGUGGGAACCGCACGAAUCGGAUUUUUUGAGGAACAUAUCGAGCAAGAAUUGGUUAGACAAUGUGUGGUUGUUAAACAAGGAUCAUCAUUAUGCAUUGUGUUAGUGAAUCGUGCUAAGAACAAGUCAAUCCUAUUUAGGUUCUAUACAAAGAAGGGUACAUGAAUUAUGCUCUUGAUGAUUCAAUAUGUCAUCAAAUGGUUUGGAUUACAAUUGUUCCUAAAGAAAUUUGGCUUCCACCAUAAAACCAAUUAGCUAUAUGGAGAGUAGUCUAACUACUUAUAAGUUCAUGCAAGGUUCUUCCUCCCAUCAACAUAUGACUCAUUGUCAACACGCCUCUUCACGUAUGGCGAAUUUUCAAGUCUAACACGUGGACAAUACAACGGAGUGUCAUUGAGCAAGUGUGGCAGUGCGUAUGACCGUUUGACUUCACACGUGGGACAACCUACUUUAAUACCAUAAAGAAUUUGAGGUUCCACCAUAAAACCAAUUGACUAUAUACCAAGUAGCGCAGCUACUUAUAAGCUCAUGGAAAGUUCUUUCUCCCUUCAAUGUAGGACUUAUUCUCAACAUACUACGUAGGCUACAUAUUUCAUACCAAAAUCUAAAACCGUCAAGAGUUUGUGGAGGAAAGUGCAAGCUACACUUCCGUUGUUAGAUUCCUCACAAAAAUUAGUUGUUGUUAGAUUCCUCACAAAAAUUAGUUGGGGUUAAUUUUGGGCUUGAGCAACUAAGUUCUCUAUUAGCUCAUGAUGUCAAUGAUGUACGUUUUAUAGGGAUAACGGGGAUGGGUGGCAUAGGUAAGACAACCCUUGCUAAGCUUGUUUGUGAUAGAAUCUUUCAUCAUUUUGAAGUUCACUGCUUUCUCGGCAACGUUAGAGAGGUUUCUAACGUUGAUCUUCAAAAAAGACUUCUUUUCCCGGUGUUGAGGGAAAAGAUUGAAGAAAUUUGGGACGAAGAGCGUAGAAUUAUUUUCACUAAGAAGUUCUUACGCAACAAAAAGGUUCUUCGUGUACUUGAUGAUGUGGAUCACAUAAACCAGCUACAAGUACUAGCUGGAAAGGAAGAUUGGUUUGGCAUGGGAAGUCGAAUUAUCAUUACAACUAGAAAUGAACGUCUGCUAGUCCAGCAUGACGUAACAUUAUGUCAUCAUGUCAAAAUGUUGGAUAAAGGCGCAGCUCUUGAACUGUUUAGCCUACAUGCCUUUAAGAAAAAUAUGCCUGAGGAUGGGUUUUGGGAACUGUCAACGUAUUUCAUUAAUUAUGCUGGAGGCCUUCCAUUAGCUCUUGAAACUUUGGGGUCGGCAUUGUUUAAGAGAAGGCUAGACACUUGGAAUAGUGUGUGGGAUAAUCUGUCAAAAAUUCCUAAUCCAACAAUUUUUGAUAAACUUAAAAUAAGUUAUGAUGGACUAGAAGAGUGGGAGAAGAGAAUUUUUCUCGAUGUUGCAUGUUUUCACAAAGGGAAGUACACAAAGCGAGUAAUUGAAAUGCUAGAUGAUUCUUUUGGAAUAUCUAGUAGUAUUAUGAUAGAUGUACUAAUUGAGAGAUCUCUCAUCUAUCAAGAUCAUAGAAAAUGCAUAUGGAUGCAUGAUUUGAUUCCAGAAAUGGCAUGGAUAGUUAUUGCUCACGAGUCUAAAGAGCCUAGUCAACGCAGUAGUUUAUGGCUUUACAAUGAUAUUUAUCAUGUAUUCAGAACGAAUACGGUAAGAAGUUAAAUAUCAAGUUUGCAAGAAUAUAUGAUUUCUUUUGACAUUAUAUUAUUAUAUAAAUUAAUUCGUCCUUUUUUCCUUCAUUGUUAGGGAACAAGAACAUUUGAAGCCAUAUCCUUACGCCAGCUCAAAGUAGAAGAGGUACGCCAGUGGAAUUGCGAAGCCUUCUCUAAGAUGGAUGGACUGAGGUUUUUGGAGUUCGAUAACUUGAUCUUUUCUUCAGGCCCCAAAUUUCUUCCAUGUUCCUUGAGAAUUAUAAAUUGGAGUUGGUAUCCUUCUAAUUUUCUUCCAACCAGCUUUUGCCCGCACUUGCUUGCUCAACUUAAGAUGCGUAAUACCAAUCUUGUUCGUGUUUGGGAGGGAAAAGUGGUAAGAGCAGUUAUGAACAAAGGAUAAUAUUGGUUACUCACUAGUCAAUACUCACUUUUUGAUUUUUUCCAAUGAUAUUUUAACACAUAUUAUUUAAAAAUAACAAUAGACAGGUUAUUUAAUUUUUCUUGAGUUUUAAAAACAAGGAACGCAUGACAUUUUUUUAUUGUACAAUCCCAAAUGUCCCAACUUUCUUCCAUAUUCAUUGAGAAUAAAUGCUAUUCAAUUUACAAAAUAAUCAUAUAUUUAUUUAUUUAUUUAUUUAUUUAUUAUUUUGAAUAAACUUUAAGGUUGUGGAAGCUUAGUAAAUGAUCUGAACCUUAUCGGUGGUGUUGUACAUGACUUACCCAACUUGAAAUAUAUCGAUCUUAGCUACUCCAAUAAAUGGAAGAGUACCCCAGGAUUUUAAUGGUAUUCCAAAUCUUGAGGAGUUAAUUCUUGGGAAUUGUAAGAAUUUAGUUGAGACUCACCCGUCUAUUGCAGUCCUCAAAAGACUUAAGGAUUUGAACCUUCGUAACUGUGAAAGCAUUAAUACCCUCCCAAGUAAGGUUGAAAUGGAUUAUCUUGAAUAUUUCUGUCUUUAUGGCUGCUCAAAUGUGAAAAAUAUUCCAGAAUUUGGGGAGCAGAUGAAGAAUGUGUCCUGGAUUUCCUUAAGUGGGACUGCGAUCGAGAAAAUACCUUCAUCAAUUGGACAUUUGGUUGGCCUCAGGGAAUUGCAUGUAAGGAAUUGCAAAAAUCUCUUGAACCUUCCAAGGGCAAUUUGUAAUUUGAAGUCUCUUGAAGGGCUCUAUGUGAAUCAAUGCUCAAAGAUUGACAAACUCACUGGAGACAUGGAUCGCUUAGAGGCGCUUCGUUGGGGACCCACUAUGACACAGCCGCUUGUGAGUAUGAAAAAUCUCAAAAGUCUAGUAUUUAAGACAAAUUCUGACAUAGCCACUUGUGGAUCGGAUGGUAAAGCAAGGGAUGGGUGGGGCCUUCGCCGCUUAUUUGGACUUCAAAAGAGUCACCCUGAUCCUCCUCCUUGUUGGGGUUUGGUGUUGUCUUCUCUAAAUCGUUUAUGCAACUUGAGGAGGUUAGAGCUAAAGAAUUGUAAUCUCCGGGAGGGGGAUAUCCCCGAUGAUAUUGGCUGCUUGUCCUUUUUGAGAGAAUUGUAUCUUAGGAGAAAUAAUUUUGUCAGGUCCAUCCAAUUUUUAUGGUGGUUCUGUCACUUGCCAGAAUUGCAUUGCAUUGGUUCAAGAUGAAGACUUGAGUAAUAGGAUUCUAAAAUCUGUCAUUCAGGUACUCUCUCUCUCUCUCUCUCUCUCUCUCUCUCUCUCUCUCUCUCUCUCUCUCUCUCUCUCUCUCUCUCUCUCUCUAAAUAAUUGAUCUUUCUUCUGCUACAGGGAUUGGAAAUUGUAAUCCCUGGAAGUGAAAUUCCAAAGUGGUUCAAUAAUCAGAGUGUGAGACAUUCAAUAAAUGUGGAGCUUCCUCCACUAUCAUGUACCAACUGGCUUGGGAUUGCCUUAUGUGCUGUUUCUCUAGACCCAAACCCUAUACAAAAUGUGGAGCUUCCUUAUUGCUUUAGUUUUAGAAUUCACCGUUCAGGGAAACUUGUUAGCCCUGAAAUACUUGGCCCAGAAUACAAUUGGAAUACCUUACCGUCUCUUGUGUCAGAAAACCUUUCGGUAUUUUAUAUUCCUCGUCAAUAUUGUUUGCCUCGUGAAGAUUGUCAUUAGGAACAGUUUUUAUUUGGAGUUAUCUUUGGUAAUGUGUAUGGGAGAGACCUAAAAGCAGGCUUGGAUAAGGUGAAGAAGUGUGGGGCUCGUUUGGUGUACAAGCAAGAUUUGAAAGAACUCAAUCAAAAACAUGGGGCUCGUUUGGUGUACGAGCAAGAUUUGAAAGAACUCAAUAAAAAACUACUGAAACGAACACAUGAAAUUCGUGACGAGGUAGCUCCAAGUGGACCUGGAAGUGCUAGCUUCAACCACACAGAACAUAUUCGCAAAAGGCGUUGUAACUAGUCACCAUGUCACAAAAAAUGCAUGUAAGUAACCAUCGAUUAAUCACAUCAGCUUAAUUGUAAUCAAAAUUAUUUUUUGUUUCGACGACAUCCUAGUCAAUGUAAUCAAUCUCUCGAUCUAUAUAUUAAGAUGGCUAUAUUUAAUGAAAGGUGAGUGAAUAAGAAUGUUGAUGCAUAAAGACUUUUGCAGAUUACUUGGGCAUUAAGAAGAUUGAUUAACAAUCUGAUCAUCUUGCCUAAUGCAGUAAGUGGGUACCUUGUAAACUCACGACGCCAUGGGGGCUGGUCUGUCGGUCCUGAUCUUAAGGUUCAUUUUCUGAAGACGCCAUUAGCGUUAACAUGUACACCAGGGGUUGAAUUCAAACUUCUGUACUCUGGCAGAAAUUGAUUUGUUUCUGUCUGAUUUUGUAACUAAUGCAAACUUGUAGUCCAGAAACAGAAACGUUGCGAAGGAAACAACACUUUUUGCUCAACAACUUUGGUUUGAUUAAAACUUGGCUUUGGUGAUGCAAAAAAUAAGCAUUGAGAGUAUUUUUCCUGAGAUCAUUGGAAAGGUUGUCGUAAAACUUAGAACAGCAAAUCAUACUAAUUUUUUUAAAACCCUUUUUACACGGUAGUUUUGAAGUUUAAACUUUAAAACAGCAAAUCAUACUUUUUUUUUAUUUUUUUUAUUUGUCAAAAGCAAAUCAUACUAAUUAACUCAGCUAAGAAAUAUUCAAAUAAUCCCCGGGCAAGCUGAGAGUAUGAUUGGAAAUUAGAAGUCUGACUUGGUCUAACAUCCCCGGGCAAGCUGACAGAUUGUAGCCCAACUGGAAGCUUGGACACCAGCAGUUUAAAUCGAGAUGAAGAUAACCCUUCGUGAAUAAAUCAGCAAUUUGAUCUUGUGAACAAAUAAAAUUCACCAGUAGCUCACCUCUAAUCACCUUCUCCCUGAAAUAAUGAUAAUCAACUUCUAAGUGCUUGGUUCUUGAGUGGAAAACUGGAUUGGAUGCUAAGGCAAUGGAAGACAAAUUAUCACACCAAAUCUGUUACCUUAGAAGAUUCUAAUGUACAUCCCUAAACAACGAACAUAACCAGGGCAACUCAGCGGCGGUGUAUGCAAGCUGCCUAUAUUCAGCUUCAGUGCUAGACCUGAAAACUGUUUUCUGUUUCUUCGAACUCCACGAUAUUAAGUUUUCACCCAAGUAUACACAGAAGCCUCCAGUUGAGGCGUGUCUAGGUUCUCUACAUAAUCACAAUCAAAGCGAAAAAAAUUCACAAAUGACUAGCAAAUAGAGGAAAACUUCCAGGAGUAGUCUGAAAAUAGUUUUCUUCUUUUCCGUAAACAAGUCCGAACAUACUUUUAUUUGCAAAGCAGAUCUGUCAAAACUGGAACAAUAGAUGAAAAUAAGGGCAAUGAGGGAAAACAUUCAACACAGGAAAAGACCAAAAUCUAGAAUGAAGUAAUUUAAAAUUGCCAUAAAUUACAAAGAAAAGUAGGGUAUAACACUAAAGAGCUACAUUAGAUAUGUUAUAUAAAUUUUGGAUGGAUCAGGCAUUCUCUGUAUCCUUGAAUACUUCUCAGGUGUUCUGCUGUUUGCUUUUAUAUUGCCAUUUCACAAUAUGGAAAGCAAGGAAUUAAAUCACGUGUGCUGUUGUCAAAAAUUAAGGCAAGGCAAACUAUGGAUUGACAAUUCGUGAUUUUAUAUUACCAUUCACAAUAUGAACAGCCAGUACCAUGCAAAGUUCCGUCCCCACCCCCCUAAGGUCCAUUGGACCUAUGGCUACAGCAAGGGCGUAACCGUAUCCCCAUAUACAUGAUAACUUGGCUAAAGAAUAUCGUUUUAUAUUUAAAGGUUGCAAACACUUGCUCUAACUGAUGCCUGACCUCAUUAGCAGUAGGCCAUUUGUUAUCACUAAUCUCCAAGGUCAAUUCAAAACAGCCACCAUUUUUGUAGUUCCAAUCUUGCAUGCCUCCAUAUAUAGGGUACCUACAACAGGUGUCUUAAGAAACAAUAGAUGAAUAUCAAACAGAAGGAAAAUAUACCUAUAAUAAGUUGUAAUGUUUCAAGCCAUCAUACCAGAAAGCUCGAUUCGUAAUCCCUCCCUCAAAUUCCUUGCGCAAUGACAUAUUGUAGCGAGAGCGACUAUAUACACUUGCUAAGAACCGGAAUGUCUCGUCGUCUGGACAUGCAAAAUAAUCUUUCCUGUAAUUUAAUUUAGAUCAAAAGACAAGAGCAUAUGUGCAAAAUAAAAAUUAAUAAGCGUUUAAAAAUUAAUAAGCGUUUAAAAAUUAAUAAGCGUUAGCAUAAAUUCUGGGAUAGUGUUAUUUAGAACUUACACAUAUUGUUAGGCACCAUCCGAAAAUCCAUAAUCAUAUUAGAAGUAAUCGGCAAUGUUCAUAACAUUACAGUAACACUUUAAGACCUACUAUUGACAUCACCAUGCUUGUUUCACACUAUAAAAGAAACAUUUAAAAACGUGAACACAUUGGGCAUCAUAGGUAAAAUUAAAUAAUGAUCAAAACCUACACUCUCACUGAGGCCAACGUACAAAAGAAACAUUCAACUCUCUUGCAAAAUUCUCUGAAAGAAACAUUGGGCAUCAUAGGUAUAAAUGAAACAUUCAACUCUCUUGCAAAAUUCUCUAAAUUCUCCAAGCACUUUUCCCUCAAAAUUCUAACUUUGGCAUCAGAGGCUCUUCCGCUAAAGCCCCCCCCCCCAACUUCAUCGUGAACGCAUAAGGCUAUUGGCCUUGACCUAAGAUGUUAUUUGUUUUGUAGGUGCAAUUUUGUCCAAGAACAAGGAGGAAGAAAUUUGCAUCCACAAAUUGGUGCUUUAAUUGAGAGUUGAGUCACACACUCCUAGAAGACUCUCACAUCUAAGGUUUUUCGUUUUCUUGUUCAUUUAUAGAUUUUUCAUACAUUCUUAUUCUUAGAAUUUUUAUUUCUAAAGAUUCUUUAGUAAAACGUAAAAGAAAGGUACAAUGGCAAGGGACUCGAAAACCUCGAAGAACGAAACUUUCUAUGUUCAAAGAUCCGGAUCGAAUGACGGAGGAUGAGAUGUAAACCCACCACAACGAUCCACAAGGCACCCAGCAUAUUUAUCAAAAAAUGCUCAAACUAUCACUUGAAAUUGCAUGAACGAGUAACAAUCGAUUUACAUUCUGGGGAAUGGAAAAGGAAGAAAAGAAAGUUUUCAAGUAGCACACAGAAUACAAAAAUACUACACUGUCAGUGUAUGCACACACUCAAUAAAUUGAAAUCCGGGUAGUAUGCAAAACUUUUUCGACAAAAAGUGAAAUUCAUGACUUCAGUUUUCGACAGUAAACGCGAAAUAUGGCAGGUGGAAAAUGAAAGACUAACAAUAAAACAAAAUAUUAAUAAUAUAUUAUUAGUUGCAGUGGAAUUUAGAAACAAUGAACAUUUUAAGGAAGAAGAUGAGGGAAAUGUAAAUAUCCAAUUGCACGAGAUUUUUCGGCAUGUACUUAUACAUUAUAAUAACUCCGCAUGUGUAAGUUUAUCUUACAUUGCCGGUCCCAAGCCCGGGUAAAGGAGGAGCGGGAGGGCGUCAGGUAGUCGACAGCCGGCACUCCACAGUUAUGUCGAAUCCUUAUGAAAAUGAAUCUAGAACGAAAUCGCGCUAAAGCUAGGGCGUCACCCGUAAGUGGCGCGCUGUGUGACCCGAGCACAGUGAUAAGUGAGCAAGGGUCGCUGUAUCUCUAUCGGCACCCGGAUGCAGUGUUAAAUGAGCAAGGGGGCCAUAGAAACUUCUUUUC
rnacentral:lncRNA from 1 species